AAUCAACGCUGGCGGCGUGCCUCAGACAUGCAAGUCGAACGCGAAAGUCCCCUUCGGGGGACAAGUAGAGUGGCGCACGGGUGAGUAACACGUAGGUAAUCUACCUUCGGAUGGGGAAUAACAACCGGAAACGGUUGCUAAUACCGCAUAAUGCAGCGGCACCUAAUGGUGACAGUUGUUAAAGCGGGGGAUCGAAAGACCCCGCGUCUGAAGAGGAGCCUGCGGCGGAUUAGCUAGUUGGAAGGUAAUGGCUUACCAAGGCGACGAUCCGUAGCCGGCCUGAGGAGGGCGGUCGGCCACACUGACACUGACAUACGGGUCAGACUCCUACGGGAGCAGCAGUCGGGAAUUUUGGGCAAUGGGCGAAAGCCUGACCCAGCAACGCCGCGUGAAGGAUAGAAA
rnacentral:rRNA from 1 species